AAGUCGUAACAAGGUUUCCGUAGGUGAACCUGCGGAAGGAUCAUUACAGUGUUAGGCUUCGGCCUCAUUCACACCCCUUGUUGAACCUCUGGUUUCUUUGGCGAUGUCAUGGACUCGUCAAACUUUAACUCUGAUAAUGUGGUACUGUCCGAGUGAGAUUGAAUUAUCAAAACUUUCAACAACGGAUCUCUUGGUUCCAGCAUCGAUGAAGAACGCAGCGAAAUGCGAUAAAUAAUGUGAAUUGCAGAAUUCCGUGAAUCAUCGAGUUUUUGAACGCACAUUGCACUCCUUGGUAUUCCGAGGAGUACGCCUGUUCGAGCGUCAUUACACUAUCAAGCUUGGCUUGGAUUUGAAUCACUGCCGUGGCAGGAUUCCAAUAUCAUAGGCAAUUGACCAUCUGUGAUGACUCACUGGGAGUUAAUUCGCCGGAAACUUUCUCUCAAGUUGACCUCGGAUCAGGCGGGGAUACCCGCUGAACUUAA
rnacentral:rRNA from 1 species